UACCAUUGCCAUGCCUACUCGCGCGGUUCGUACCAAGUGAUUUGCUUUUGCAACGCGACAUGUAUGCACGUUAAAUACACGCCUACGGGGGACUCGCGGUUGCAUUUCCUUUAUUUUCAACGAUCCUACAGCAGGCCUUGUUUCACGUUCUCCGCAUAACUCCAGGGCCCCGGCGUUGGACGGGUCGCGGUCUGCAGUCGUCGCGACGUCCCGCGUGCUGUCGUACACGCUCGUGACGUCACGCGGCAAGAGAGGACAGACUGUUAGAAUGCGGUAUAGGGAGAACACCGUCAACACCAGUACGAAACACAUCACGCCGCCGCUCUACAGUUUCUGCCUCGGUCAAUACCACGCGUUCAACAGUGCACUGCGCAUUAAAAUUUUAUUUUGCUUCCCUCUUUUUUUUUCAACGUCUUCUUCUUCUCCUUCUUCUUCUUCUUAUCUUUUAAUUUCUUUUCCUUCCCUCCCUUCUCUCAACCAAAAUAGAUGCUCGUGAUUGUACUACAGGAUCAUCUACAUUGCCGGAGGGUACACCGUGGGGUAUGGUAAUUCGAUACCAAGGACAAGGCUGCACUUCCACGUAUGGACAAGAAAUAAGCCUCACAGUCCCGCAGUAAGAUUAUCCAGCCGCCGACUAUAUCUAUACAUCGUUCCCAGGGAAACCUUGCGGCAAAUUUUUCUUAUUUCUCUUUCUUUCAAAGGAUCAGGUUUACUGGCCAAGUGACCCUGCUCGAGUGCUCGCCGUUGCUGCGGUUUGUGCUGCCUGGCUGGCUGGGUGGCUGGAUGGCUGGAUGGCUGCCUGGCUCUCUGGAGUAUGGUCACGUGAUCGUCCAGACGGUACGGGGCUUUGGGAUGGCUGCUGGUUGUACAUACCUACAACGUUAUACGUAGU
rnacentral:lncRNA from 1 species